GGCUCAGGAUGAACGCUAGCGGCAGGCUUAACACAUGCAAGUCGAGGGGUAUAGUUCUUCGGAAUUAGAGACCGGCGCACGGGUGCGUAACGCGUAUGCAAUCUACCUUCACAGAGGGAUAGCCCAGAGAAAUUUGGAUUAAUACCUCAUAGUAUAGCAGUUUCGCAUGAAACCACUAUUAAAGUCACAACGGUGAAAGAUGAGCAUGCGUCCCAUUAGCUAGUUGGUAAGGUAACGGCUUACCAAGGCUACGAUGGGUAGGGGGUCCUGAGAGGGAGAUCCCCCACACUGGUACUGAGACACGGACCAGACUCCUACGGGAGGCAGCAGUGAGGAGUAUUGGACAAUGGGCGCAAGCCUGAUCCAGCCAUGCCGCGUGCAGGAUGACGGUCCUAUGGAUUGUAAACUGCUUUGUACAGGAAGAAACACUACUUCGUGAAGUAGCUUGACGGUACUGUAAGAAUAAGGAUCGGCUAACUCCGUG
rnacentral:rRNA from 1 species